rnacentral:tRNA from 3 species
GCCUAGACUUACAUGGCCUCGGAGUGUCAUUCGGUGACUCAUAAUCCUUUGGUCCACGGUUCAAGUCCGUGUGGGCCCACCA